GAGUUUGAUCUUGGCUCAGAUUGAACGCUGGCGGCAUGCCUUACACAUGCAAGUCGAACGGCAGCACGGGAGCUUGCUCCUGGUGGCGAGUGGCGAACGGGUGAGUAAUGCAUCGGAACGUAUCCUGGAGUGGGGGAUAACGUAGCGAAAGUUACGCUAAUACCGCAUAUUCUGUGAGCAGGAAAGCGGGGGACCUUCGGGCCUCGCGCUCUUGGAGCGGCCGAUGUCGGAUUAGCUAGUUGGUGAGGUAAAGGCUCACCAAGGCGACGAUCCGUAGCAGGUCUGAGAGGAUGAUCUGCCGCACUGGAACUGAGACACGGUCCAGACUCCUACGGGAGGCAGCAGUGGGGAAUUUUGGACAAUGGGGGCAACCCUGAUCCAGCCAUGCCGCGUGAGUGAAGAAGGCCUCGG
rnacentral:rRNA from 1 species